GAAAAUCUUAAUUUUGACACUUUAUUUCCUCAAGUGAUUGAAGAGGUGAAAGUAGCACUCAUUAAUAUAACAGCUGGGUUACCGCAGUGUCUGGAUUCGAAUAAUUUCCCUUCCCUCGGCUGUGAAAAUGAAAUAGACGGCGGAAGUAACGUGAUGUCAAGUGUAACGUAUAUAUCGUGCCUGUUAAAGAAAGUUUGUUUGAAUAAUGAUACGGCUAAUUUAGUUAAAUUCGUAAACUGUCUUGCAAAACUAAGUACAGCUAGAGUACAGUUUGUUUUAGAAGAUGUUAAAAGAAAUGUUACAGCAAAAAUAUCCGAAUGUAUUGGUAGUAUUACUGUCAAUACCCGUAAUAAAUUAAUAAAUUGUAAUUUGAUCGAUUA